CGGAGCUGCCUUUCAAUCUCAUAAUUGAUCCUACGUGCUUCCUUCGCCUCCUCGCCGAGGCAGCAGGCCCCCACAGAAGCCAGAGUCAUAACUUUUGGAAACAGUUCACUAGUUGGAUGAGGUAGUGGGGCCUGUUACUGUUGAACCGAGUCCGGGCGUGGUGAUCUGAAUAUGGCGGACUUUUACUUCAUAUGGCUCCUAAUUAGCAAAAUCAUUCUCCGACACAUGAAAAAACACACGGAAAAUACGGAUCCCACUUCGUUGUAUGUCUAUCCUUCCUGGUUUUGGUGCAGAACCACCAUGGCUCUCUGCUGUGGUCUCCUUUACAGCUUUCUCCUUCUCUCGCGUCCCCGUUCGGGAUUGAAA